CCUUUGGUGGGGCGGGAUGGAGCACACUAACACCAGACAGACAGAGAGAAGUGAAUACUAUUAGGAAAGGUUUCAAUCCUAUAGCGAAUUGUAACAAGCGUAGAAGUGAGGGCAGAGAGAGGGAUUGAGAAUUUGAGAUGGAAUUAGAACCUUUACCGGGGCGGGAUGGAGCACACUAACACCAGACAGACAGAGAGAAGUGAAUACCAUUAGGAAAGGUUUCAAUCCUAUAGCGAACUAGAAACAAGCGUAGAAGUGAGGGCAAGAGAGAUUCAAACCCAGAGAUGGAAUUAGAACCUUUACCGGGGCAGGAUGGAGCACACUAACAUCAGACAGACAGACAGAUAGAGAGAGAAACAAAGAACCUUAGGAAAGACUUUUAACCUACUCUAAACUACUAAAUAACUAAGAAUAAAGUUGAAAUACCGAAAGGAAAGUUGGAAAUCAUUGAAAUAUAGUUGAUUUUGAGGGUUACAAGGUGGAGAUCAAAGUAUAUGAGGCUGGGAUCGUAAAGGAAAGGUUAAAUAAGGGAAGGUUUAGGUAGGAAGUUAGGUAAAAUAUAAGGUUUGUGAGGUUGAGGAAAGGUAAGGUAAGGUAAGGUAGGGAUUAACUAACUAUGGUAGAACAAGAUAAAUAAGUAAAUACCAAUAUAUUUGAGGCUUGGCUGUGACGUGGUGUGCUGUAUUGUCUGUUAAUGGUUGAAAUGGGUGUUUUAAGGGGUGGUAAGGGGUCUGUAGGCUGUAACGGGGUAAUGGGGUUGUUAGUGGGUUAUAGAAGAAGGGGUUGAAGGGGUUGUCUGUACGUGGGUUGUGUGAGGUUGUGAGAAAAUGGGGAAGGUUUAAAUGGGUUGUGAGUAGAAUGAGUUGAUGGGUUUGUUUUGAGAUAUGGAAGGUGUUAGAAAGAAAGAAAGGAAUUGAAGAGGGUAGGGAGAGAGACGAAGAAGGGAAGAAAGAAAUGGAAGAGAUAAUAAAGAGAGAAAUGAUAACAAAGGAAUGGUAGAGAGAAAUAGAAAGAAAGAGAGAAUUUGGGGUUACAGAAAUAGAUCAAGAAAUAAAGAAACGUACGAGACAAGAAAGAGAAAGAAGAAGUUAGAGAAAGAGACAAAGAAAGGAAGAUAAAGGAAAGAAAGAAAUUAGAGGAGUUAGAGAAAUAGAUCAAGAAUUAAAGAAAGAAAUUAAAACCAAACAAAGAGAAAAGGAAAUAAAGAAAGAAAUGAAAAGAUUCGAAACAAAGAAAAGGAAAAAAAAGGAGAGAUUAGAGAAACAAACAAAAAAAACGGAGGAGACUAGAGAGAGAGAGAGAGAGAGAGAGAGAGAGAGAGAGAGAGAGAGAGAGAGAGAGAAACUGAAUAAAGAAAGACAAACAGAUGAGGAGAAAGAAAGAAAACAA